UUUUACUACGGUGCAGUUUUGACGCUUUCAGGGUCGGGUUCUCAUCACCCUAUUGUUGUUCACCAAAAUUAAUUAUUAAGUGACGUAUAAAAUACGACACACACAUCUAAGGUCCUCAAUACAAUUAUAUAUUUCAUGUCAUGCCAUAGUGAGGACUACUAAUGCUAUCAUCUGGACCGUCACUCCAUUCCCCGACUCGUCCAGCUAUAUUCUCA
rnacentral:lncRNA from 1 species